AACGGCCAUACCAUGAUGCUGAAUAUACCGGUUCUCGUUAGAUCACCGAAGUCAAGCAUCAUGGGCGCGGUCAGUACUUGGGUGGGUGACCACCUGGGGAACACCGCGUGCUGUU